rnacentral:rRNA from 1 species
UACGGGGGGAGCAAGCGUUGUUCGGAUUUACUGGGCGUAAAGGGCGCGUAGGCGGCCACCGCAAGUCGAUUGUGAAAUCUCCGGGCUUAACUCGGAAAGGUCAACCGAUACUGCGGGGCUAGAGUGCAGAAGGGGCAACUGGAAUUCUCGGUGUAGCAGUGAAAUGCGUAGAGAUCGUAAGGAAGACCAGUGGCGAAGGCGGGUCUCUGGACAGUUCCUGACACUGAGGCACGAAGGCCAGGGGAGCAAACGGG